rnacentral:rRNA from 1 species
GACGAACGCUGGCGGCGUGCUUAACACAUGCAAGUCGAACGGAAAGGCCCUGCUUUUGUGGGGUGCUCGAGUGGCGAACGGGUGAGUAGCACGUGAGUAACCUGCCCUUGACUUUGGGAUAACUUCAGGAAACUGGGGCUAAUACCGGAUAGGAGCUCCUGCUGCAUGGUGGGGGUUGGAAAGUUUCGGCGGUGGGGGAUGGACUCGCGGCUUAUCAGCUUGUUGGUGGGGUAGUGGCUUACCAAGGCUUUGACGGGUAGCCGGCCUGAGAGGGUGACCGGCCACAUGGGGACUGAGAUACGGCCCAGACUCCUACGGGAGGCAGCAGUGGGGAAUAUUGCACAAUGGGCGGAAGCCUGAUGCAGCAACGCCGCGUGCGGGAUGACGGCCUUCGGGUUGUAAACCGCUUUCGCCUGUGACGAAGCGUGAGUGACGGUAAUGGGUAAAGAAGCACCGGCUAACUACGU